UAAGCAAUUAUACUGUGAAACUGCGAAUGGCUCAUUAAAUCAGUUAUCGUUUAUUUGAUAGUACCUUACUACUUGGAUAACCGUGGUAAUUCUAGAGCUAAUACAUGCUAAAAACCCCGACUCACGAAGGGGUGUAUUUAUUAGAUUAAAAACCAAUGCCCUUCGGGGCUCUUUGGUGAUUCAUAAUAACUUCUCGAAUCGCAUGGCCUUGCGCCGGCGAUGGUUCAUUCAAAUUUCUGCCCUAUCAACUUUCGAUGGCAGGGUCUUGGCCUGCCAUGGUUACAACGGGUAACGG
rnacentral:rRNA from 1 species